AAACCAAUUCAUUAUUUACUUUACUACAAAUAAAAAAAAUUAGUUCGUUUUCUUCUUCUCCAAACACAUGAACGUUGCCACAAAAAUCCAAUUUGUCUGAAACUGAAACCCAUUCUUCAUCAGAAAUUGACAUUAACAAUGGUAGUUGAAGCUCAUCAGCUUUUUCUUCCAAAACCCCCUUUCUCUUCUCCUUCUUUCCCUUCUCCACCACCCCAUUUUUCUUCUUUCCUUUUUCACCCUUCUUCUCUCUCUUUAGCUCUCUUCCAUUCCGAUUCUUCUAUCUCUCUCUACUCUUCUUUCUCUCCUUUCUCUAUCUCUUCCUUUCCUCCUCCCCAAACCACUCUCCAUCCCCCCAUCUCCGCCGCCGCUUUCCUCCUCCUACGGAACCCUAAUCCGAUCACCCUCUUUCUCAUCUCAUCUCCUAUUUCCGGAGGCUCCGCAGUUCUCUUCCGUUUCUAUAUCCUUAAUUCUGCUAGGAAGUCUUUUACUCCGGCCAAAGUUGUAUGCAAUCACACUGAUUUCAAGUUUGAUGAGAGUAAAUUCGGGGUGGUUUUUGGGGUUUCUCAUGGGGUUUCCCUGAAAUUGGUUGCCGAUGUUAAUGCAUUUGCGUUGUACUCUAUUUCGAAUGGUAGAGUUUGGGUUUUUGCUGUGAAACACCUGGGGGGUGAGGAGCUGAAAUUGAUGAAGUAUGCCGUGAUUGAUUGUUCUCUGCCCGUGUUUUCUAUUAGUGUAUCUUUUGGGGUCCUGAUUUUGGGGGAAGAUAAUGGAGUCAGGGUUUUCCCCCUGCGGCCAUUGGUCAAAGGAAGAGUUAAGAAAGAGAGGGCUACCAAGAAGAAAAAUUUGAAUGGUGGGUUAGAAAAAGAUAAGAUGGAGAUAAAAAAGCUACCUUUACGAAAUGGGAUGAUUCAUGGCAUGAAUGCUGAGAUUAGUGCUGCUGAUGGUAGCAAAUUGAUGGAAUUGAAGUUUCCUUCCAAUGGUAUAUUGGAUGAAAGGGUCGAGAACCGCACUGAAUCAGCAAAGUUAAGGUCUGUGAGACUCAGACAAGAUUCCAGAGAGGGUAUUGCAAACUUCGUGGCAUUCAAGAACAAGGAUGAUAAUUUUGAGUCGAUCAAGAUACCGGUUAAGUCGGCAAAAGCUAUUGGCAUUCAGGCCUUAUCUUCAACCAGGUUUCUGAUCUUGGACUCCGAAGGAAAUCUUCACCUCUUGGUCCUUGCAACUUCUGUUCAUGGAUCAGAGACUCCUUAUAGCAUGAAACAGUUAACUCACAACAUGAAAGUUCGAAAGCUCACUGUUCUUCCGGAUUCUUCUACAAGAACACAAACUGUUUGGAUAACAGAUGCACUUCAUACUGUACACAUGAUUGCGGUGACUGACAUGGAUGCAUCUUCUGUCAAUCAAACUGACAGCAAGGAUCCUGCAGAGAAGCUUGUACAGACUUCAGUUGUGCAAGCAAUAUUUUCCAGUGAAAAGGUCCAAGAAAUUGCAGCUUUGUCUGCGAAUACAAUAUUGCUUCUUGGACAAGGAAGCAUGUUUGCAUAUGCAAUUUCCUAGAGAUGCUGAGUGCUUUUUUGUGGUCAGUGAGUCCUCCCCUUCAUUAACAUUUUGUUCUACAUACAUUGGAUUCUCUGACAAGUAAAUUUCUUAUGGGUGUCAGCCAGAAAUUUUCUAUAUUGAUUCUUUCAGCAAGAUAUUUUAGAUGAGCAUCUUUUCACAUCAAUAUCAAAUUAUUUUGUUUCCUCGCGGGAAGAAACAUUUCAUGCUUUUUUCUUCGUCUGAAAACAGUAAGAGUAUAUUAUUGGAAGCACUUCCGGCACAAAGGCUGCGUUGGAGCCAUAUUUACAGAUCAAUAGUAAAACAAAAGAAUCCUUGAUUUUCUUAUAAGGAUUCAAUGAUCACCUUCACUUUCUGUCUAAGGCUGUGUUUUCUGUCAAAACACCUUGACUUCCUUUUUAUGCUGGGAUUGAACUCCAAUGUCUCUUCUGCUUCGCUGUUCCUCCUAUGUUGUUCUCGCACUCUAGGAGAUCUAUAAGUUUAUUUUGGCAUAGCUCAUUUAAUUCCUUUCAUACUGAAACAAUUGCCACAUCAGUGACUUCACAGUGAAUGAAGACUUCAUAGCGAACGAAAAUAUGAUUGAUGGCCUUAGAUUCCUUCUCACAUAAAAAAGCAUCUAGAGCAUUACUAUUAACCCCUCCUUUUUUUUAAAAAAAAAGAUUAAAAAAAUAAAUAAAAAUUAACCCCUCCUUUUCACAUUUCCCUGUGUCAGGCAUGCCUCUCUAACAACCAUACAUACAAACUGGCUACGUUAUAUGAUCUUUUAAGCUUUAACCCUCCAGAUAUGUUUUGAGGACCAUAUGCAUUUUUCAUUUGCUGUUAUACCUUGAAACUGUUCCUAUACCUUAAAAAUCACAGCAACCCCAUUCAUUUUCUAGUCAUGGAGUAGUCUUCUGAAGUUUAAGUUGUAUUCCUGCUGUCCCAGACCUCAUAUGGAUUGUUGCAUCAGGCAUCAGGACUAAGCUACAUAGGUCAGGAUGUUGUUUCUUAAUGUUUGUGAACCAACCCAUUUGUCACUCCAGAAAGACAUUUUCCUUCCACUCCCAACCUUGUAGUUAUUAGUAGUAGCAAAACUUGGCCAGUGUCGUCCUGAUUAUUUUCCAAACAUAGCACCACAAGCUGUUGUGACUCUCUCUGGUGCACCAAUGACCCUCCUGUCCAUACUUGACACUGAUGACCCUUCUUCACAAGGCUUGAUCUUCAUGACAAAAUCUCAAUAAGCAAACUCGAUGUGCAUCUCAGGUUCCUACCUGGCCCCGCUUAUCUUUCGCUCUGCAUCAAAAUACUCAAUUUCAUGAUUUUCAGUGGUGUAUUGUGCUUUAAACAUUAAAUUUAUACACCCUUCAUUCUUUGAAGAUAUGGAAAGUAAACCUUUUCUCUUCCCCCCCGUCCACCCUCCCCUUUUUUUUUGCUGCAUUGCAGGUCAUCAUGUUUCACAUUUGGAUAGACAAGUAAUUGGGUGGUUUUGGUGGAUUUCUCUUGUGGGAGGAUCUUUGUGCUGCAGUUGUCAAUAUCUAUCAAGUGGUUCAUAACAAGUGAAGGAGGCUGAGCUCUUGGAUGAAGCUAUUUGGAGGAUCUGACUAGUGGCUGUUGGGCGAGGUCAACUCUUUCAGCAAUUGAUGCCCGCUCUGCUGCAUGGCUUCCAUUACCGCAGAGAUCAAAGUGCAUUGUAACCAUUGAAGCCGCAUGUGUUCUUGGUCGUUGCUGCUGGAAUUCUCAACAUUGAUGAGGGGGUACGAGACCAAGCAUCCAUGUUAAGAUGUGUGGUAAGAGGGCUUCUGCCAUUAUAUUGGUCUAAUAUUGGCUUGUUUUUGGGGAUUUAGCUUCCUGUCUAUAAUAAGCUUGGUAGGAUUAUGCUUAUGUUGGAGAUGAGGUUAUGGUGUUCUGAUACCUAGUUCUGCGAACUUAAGCUGUCAUACUCCGUGAGAUUAACCCCUCGUUACCAGACCAUAGAUUAUGUAAUAAGAAGUCUUUAGCCUUUUUCACUAUUGAUUGUAAUCGAGAAUUAUCUCAAGGAUGUUAAGUCAGUGUGGAACUAUUUACUGCUAUUAUCUGGCUCUCUAGAGUGCUAUAGAUGCUGUUGAAUUAUAAGAUUUUAUUUUCACCAUCUU